GACGAACGCUGGCGGCGUGCUUAACACAUGCAAGUCGAACGGUGAAGCGCCUUCCUUUUUGGUGGGUGUGGAUGAGUGGCGAACGGGUGAGUAACACGUGAGUAACCUGCCCCCUUCUUCGGGAUAACCGCAUGAAAGUGUGGCUAAUACGGGAUAUUCUGGGUCUGUCGCAUGAUGGGUCUGGGAAAGAUAUUGUUUCGGUGGGGGAUGGGCUCGCGGCCUAUCAGCUUGUUGGUGGGGUGAUGGCCUACCAAGGCGGUGACGGGUAGCCGGCCUGAGAGGGUGGACGGUCACACUGGGACUGAGACACGGACCAGACUCCGACGGGAGGCAGCAGUGGGGAAUAUUGCACAAUGGGCGCAAGCCUGAUGCAGCGACGCCGCGUGAGGGAUGGAGGCCUUCGGGUUGUGAACCUCUUUCGCCAGUGAAGCAGGCCUGCCUCGUUUGUGGGUGGGUUGACGGUAGCUGGAUAAGAAGCGCCGGCUAACUACGUG
rnacentral:rRNA from 1 species